rnacentral:rRNA from 1 species
UACGUAGGAUGCAAGCGUUGUCCGGAAUUAUUGGGCGUAAAGAGCGCGCAGGCGGUGUAUCAAGUCAGAUGUGAAAGAGGCCGGCUUAACCGGCAAGGGUCAUUUGAAACUGAUAGACUAGAGUGCAGCAGAGGAUAGUGGAAUUCCCGGUGUAGUGGUGAAAUGCGUAGAUAUCGGGAGGAACACCAGUGGCGAAGGCGACUAUCUGGCUGCAACUGACGCUGAGGCGCGAAGGCUAGGGUAGCAAACAGG